AUAUUAAUGCUUCGACUCCUGUGUAUAAUUCAAAAGAUAAAGUUUGACCACACUUUAGUCAUGAAGAUUCUGCCUUUCUGCCCAAGGAAAAUCUGAUUUCCCACUCUACUCAAACUAUAUCAGGAAAAGUGUUGGAUCUGCCCACAGAGGGAAAAUCUCAGGCAAGAUCAACUAUAUUUCCAGAAGCUAGCCAAUCUGAAGUUAACAGCUUGACCAUUGAUAGUAUGAUUUUGGAGAGCCACUGUUUGACUUAUGAAGUUAUAAAAACCUAACAUAAACACAAUUUAUGUUCAUGUUUUUCAAAUCAAUGACAUGAUACUCUUUAAAUAUGAUUCCUCUAUACAUUUCCCCAUAAUAACUUGCUUAUUUUGUAGUCCCCUUCACCCCAUAUCGGGCUGUCCAACUGGCGGCCCGCGACCCCUCUUGUGCUGGGACUUCAGAAACAUCACCGUUUAUGAAAGGAGAUGCAAACUCCUAGCAUAUCUUCUCUAGUAUAAGCAAGGCAACCUUAAAUCACCUAAGCAAAAUCCAACCGCCAGUGCCACUUGGCCGGUUAGCUCAGUUGGUUAGAGCGUGGUGCUAAUAACGCCAAGGUCGCGGGUUCGAUCCCCGUACGGGCCACUUUUUAAAAUUUAAAGUGCAAUCUUCUACACAACAAUGAAACCUCUUCAUUCCUCUACACCUCGUCUCUUGUCUCUCCAUAUGUUCCUGGCCAAAUCCUCCACUCGUCUCAGAGCUACCACUCCUUUGCACCACGCCGCUACUACUGCUCUUUCUGACCUUAAACCCUUCUGUCUUGCUGCUUUGCCUUACAUUUGGAAUGCCAUUCCUGCAUUCAUCCAGAGAGAAUUCCCCCUUGGUUUCUUCAGAACUAAACUUCAAGAUUACCACUUUAAGCACUUGCAUAAGACCUGAACUAGGAACUGGCACUUAUAUGGCUGUCACGUACGGUAUCCCAAAAGCGAGAUGUAAAACCACAAGGCCCUGGCUCACGCUUCCCUUCUGCCACUCACAACCGCCUUUCGCUUCGGGAGGAGCCCUCUGCUGCGCAGAUGCCGCCAGGUCUUAAAGUGAGAGGACCAAGGGGGAAGUUCUGGGAAGCCAAGGGAACCGCAAUGUUUACAGGAUGGGCGGGGAACAGACAGCGCAGAUGUGGAACAGGCAGGGACAUUACUGGUCAGUGCAGUACAAAUUCAGGAACCAGGGGCGCAGCCAGGAUUACCAGGCCGGAUCAGUACCAGUCAAACAGUGCAGAACAGAAUCAGGAGCCAGGAGCGUAGCCAGGAUAAACAGGCCGGAGUCAAAACCAAUCAGUAACAUGGUACCGAGUCAGGAUCCAGAAGAGUGCUCAAACAGGCAAGGGUCGAUUGACUAGUAAUUCAAAGAUUCAACCAGCACAUGUCUAUUAAAAUCAACACCUUAAGGCAGCUACUAGCAGGAGAAAUCAAAACAGUUGCCCCGCUUAGGGAUGUAAGGAAGAACCAGUACGCUAAAAGAAAAAUAUUGUUCAAUGGUUCAUCAGGGUUCCGUUCCCCGACUGGGAAGUGUGCCUUUUUUUCUAUAUGUAAGUACUCCAGACAGUUACUUGUCUUCAAAGUGGCAUUUGACAAAAUCAUCAAAAAAAUACAAAGGUGUGUUAAAUUAGCGCACAGCAGGAGUACAUUACCAGUGUGAGAUCAACCGAGGUCCCGCACCAGAGCCAGUCCUCGUUAGUAUAGUGGUGAGUAUCCCCGCCUGUCACGCGGGAGACCGGGGUUCAAUUCCCCGACGGGGAGGUGUGAUUUUGAGUUAGUGCUUCAGACAGCUACUUAACUUCAAAGUGGCAUUUGACAAAAUACAAAUAGAAAACAUGUGCAUGUGUGUGUUAAACUAGCAGAUUAUCAAAUAAAUACCGAUAAUCAAAGUACUCACAGCUAGCUGCCGUACUGAGAUACAAGUAAGUGAGCGAGUAAUCAGUGUUAUUCAGACACACACAAGCAUUGCAGUUGUAUAAACAUGGUUAUUACUGACAAAGAGUACGGGAACAAAAACGCUAAGCCCACGAGUCAGUAUCAGUAAUUAGGGGUAUAGCCAUCCUGUUAACAUAAUUAUUGGGGUAGCGAUUACAUAGAAAAAGGACUCAUUAUAAAAUAAAGGCGCGCAUAGGCUGAAGGAGCUCGAGCGGGAACCGUCUUUGUUAUCAUUCCCAAUAUUGCCUAUAUGAGCUAUCGUUUUAAAGGGGAAGGAAGACAAAUGUUUAAAUGGUGACCUUUGUUGAGAUCUGGUUAAAAUGAAAUAAUGGCCAUAGACCAACCAACAAAAUGUACAGAACUUUUUAGUACAGUGGCAUAACUGCCAUUUGGCUCCUUCAGUCCGGAUAAGUCCCCCAUGGGCCCCCUGCAGAUAAAGCAGAACCGCUCCCCCUCACAGCCACAGCCUUCUCUGUAGUUCCACCACUGUUUCAGUACCAGUAUAAGUCCGCGGAUCUGGAAACCACGAUGACAAUAGCAUGAAGUCAAGAGAAGCUGUCUUUAUCGACCAAGGUACCAUGUCAACAUGAUACAUCAGCAGAUGAAACUUUUAAACCUGCCUGAUUGACACAUAGCUCAUAAACAACAGACCCGAAAGACAGCCCAGGGGCAGUAUGGCAUCAACCGGACUUAAACAAUUACCAGCGCAAUCCAAUUCACACCAAAGUGCAAACACAACUGCACUCAUUUUAAUGCAUCAGCCACAGGUGUGUCAGGUGCAACUCCUCCAGGUGACUGCAGCAAAGCUGGAAUUUGCUGGAUGUGCUUUCAUAUGUAAGUACUCCUGACAAUUACUUGUCUUCAAAGCGGCAUUCGACAAAAUGAUAAAAAAUAUAGAUGUGUUUGCUAAAGGAGUGCACAGCAGGACUACACUGCAGGUGUAACAUAAUCCGACAAUUGCCCCCUCAACCAGUCCUCGUUAGUAUAGUGGUGAGUAUCCCCGCCUGUCACGCGGGAGACCGGGGUUCAAUUCCCCGACGGGGAGGUGUGCUUUUAACAAAAAAGUACUUCAGACAGUUACUUAACUUCAAAGUAGCAUUUGAGAACAAAAAAACAAACAAAACAUGUGCGUGUGUGUGUGUGUUAAACUUCCAGAUUAUCCUUAGUACAAGUCAAAUAAUACAUUAUAAUACAACGUGGAAUUGACGACAAUAAGGUAAGUGGAAUUCUCAUUAUCUACCAGCUGAGUUAAUAAAGUAGAUUACCUCCGUCAGAUAGGUAACCCUCAAUAAAACACAAAGUAGUCAGUUAUUUCCACUUACUCCCUCCUUUCACCCAGCAUGUGCACUAAAUUCCUUUUGGUUUCUAAUGCCUGCUAAACAGAUAGAGCACAUGUAACCAUUAGAUCGCACAAAACACUUGCUGCGUAGCGCCUUCAGUUGGCAGUACACAAUAAGUUCCGAGUUGUUUGGCGAGGUCACCAAACGUGCGGAUCUUUCCCCAUAUAUGUCCACCGUAGGUGGGCAACAUCAGGCUUAGGGCCAAACGGUGAUAAAACAGCCAGAAUAUAAGCCGUUGGAGUGAGAACAACUAGCCGAUGCAGUCCUCGAUCCGUCUGGAAAAUCGAAACCUGCCUGACCGAGAUGCCCGAUGGGCCCAAUGGCCAAGUUGAACAUUAAGCAUCGCAAAGAAACUUUCUUGGAAGUGAAGUUGAUAGUGUGGUCUUUCAGCUUAUAGCGUAUAUUAAUGCUUCGACUCCUGUGUAUAAUUCAAAAGAUAAAGUUUGACCACACUUUAGUCAUGAAGAUUCUGCCUUUCUGCCCAAGGAAAAUCUGAUUUCCCACUCUACUCAAACUAUAUCAGGAAAAGUGUUGGAUCUGCCCACAGAGGGAAAAUCUCAGGCAAGAUCAACUAUAUUUCCAGAAGCUAGCCAAUCUGAAGUUAACAGCUUGACCAUUGAUAGUAUGAUUUUGGAGAGCCACUGUUUGACUUAUGAAGUUAUAAAAACCUAACAUAAACACAAUUUAUGUUCAUGUUUUUCAAAUCAAUGACAUGAUACUCUUUAAAUAUGAUUCCUCUAUACAUUUCCCCAUAAUAACUUGCUUAUUUUGUAGUCCCCUUCACCCCAUAUCGGGCUGUCCAACUGGCGGCCCGCGACCCCUCUUGUGCUGGGACUUCAGAAACAUCACCGUUUAUGAAAGGAGAUGCAAACUCCUAGCAUAUCUUCUCUAGUAUAAGCAAGGCAACCUUAAAUCACCUAAGCAAAAUCCAACCGCCAGUGCCACUUGGCCGGUUAGCUCAGUUGGUUAGAGCGUGGUGCUAAUAACGCCAAGGUCGCGGGUUCGAUCCCCGUACGGGCCACUUUUUAAAAUUUAAAGUGCAAUCUUCUACACAACAAUGAAACCUCUUCAUUCCUCUACACCUCGUCUCUUGUCUCUCCAUAUGUUCCUGGCCAAAUCCUCCACUCGUCUCAGAGCUACCACUCCUUUGCACCACGCCGCUACUACUGCUCUUUCUGACCUUAAACCCUUCUGUCUUGCUGCUUUGCCUUACAUUUGGAAUGCCAUUCCUGCAUUCAUCCAGAGAGAAUUCCCCCUUGGUUUCUUCAGAACUAAACUUCAAGAUUACCACUUUAAGCACUUGCAUAAGACCUGAACUAGGAACUGGCACUUAUAUGGCUGUCACGUACGGUAUCCCAAAAGCGAGAUGUAAAACCACAAGGCCCUGGCUCACGCUUCCCUUCUGCCACUCACAACCGCCUUUCGCUUCGGGAGGAGCCCUCUGCUGCGCAGAUGCCGCCAGGUCUUAAAGUGAGAGGACCAAGGGGGAAGUUCUGGGAAGCCAAGGGAACCGCAAUGUUUACAGGAUGGGCGGGGAACAGACAGCGCAGAUGUGGAACAGGCAGGGACAUUACUGGUCAGUGCAGUACAAAUUCAGGAACCAGGGGCGCAGCCAGGAUUACCAGGCCGGAUCAGUACCAGUCAAACAGUGCAGAACAGAAUCAGGAGCCAGGAGCGUAGCCAGGAUAAACAGGCCGGAGUCAAAACCAAUCAGUAACAUGGUACCGAGUCAGGAUCCAGAAGAGUGCUCAAACAGGCAAGGGUCGAUUGACUAGUAAUUCAAAGAUUCAACCAGCACAUGUCUAUUAAAAUCAACACCUUAAGGCAGCUACUAGCAGGAGAAAUCAAAACAGUUGCCCCGCUUAGGGAUGUAAGGAAGAACCAGUACGCUAAAAGAAAAAUAUUGUUCAAUGGUUCAUCAGGGUUCCGUUCCCCGACUGGGAAGUGUGCCUUUUUUUCUAUAUGUAAGUACUCCAGACAGUUACUUGUCUUCAAAGUGGCAUUUGACAAAAUCAUCAAAAAAAUACAAAGGUGUGUUAAAUUAGCGCACAGCAGGAGUACAUUACCAGUGUGAGAUCAACCGAGGUCCCGCACCAGAGCCAGUCCUCGUUAGUAUAGUGGUGAGUAUCCCCGCCUGUCACGCGGGAGACCGGGGUUCAAUUCCCCGACGGGGAGGUGUGAUUUUGAGUUAGUGCUUCAGACAGCUACUUAACUUCAAAGUGGCAUUUGACAAAAUACAAAUAGAAAACAUGUGCAUGUGUGUGUUAAACUAGCAGAUUAUCAAAUAAAUACCGAUAAUCAAAGUACUCACAGCUAGCUGCCGUACUGAGAUACAAGUAUAGCUAUCAAUCAUAGCGAGUAAUCAGUGUUAUUCAGACACACACAAGCAUUGCAGUUGUAUAAACAUGGUUAUUACUGACAAAGAGUACGGGAACAAAAACGCUAAGCCCACGAGUCAGUAUCAGUAAUUAGGGGUAUAGCCAUCCUGUUAACAUAAUUAUUGGGGUAGCGAUUACAUAGAAAAAGGACUCAUUAUAAAAUAAAGGCGCGCAUAGGCUGAAGGAGCUCGAGCGGGAACCGUCUUUGUUAUCAUUCCCAAUAUUGCCUAUAUGAGCUAUCGUUUUAAAGGGGAAGGAAGACAAAUGUUUAAAUGGUGACCUUUGUUGAGAUCUGGUUAAAAUGAAAUAAUGGCCAUAGACCAACCAACAAAAUGUACAGAACUUUUUAGUACAGUGGCAUAACUGCCAUUUGGCUCCUUCAGUCCGGAUAAGUCCCCCAUGGGCCCCCUGCAGAUAAAGCAGAACCGCUCCCCCUCACAGCCACAGCCUUCUCUGUAGUUCCACCACUGUUUCAGUACCAGUAUAAGUCCGCGGAUCUGGAAACCACGAUGACAAUAGCAUGAAGUCAAGAGAAGCUGUCUUUAUCGACCAAGGUACCAUGUCAACAUGAUACAUCAGCAGAUGAAACUUUUAAACCUGCCUGAUUGACACAUAGCUCAUAAACAACAGACCCGAAAGACAGCCCAGGGGCAGUAUGGCAUCAACCGGACUUAAACAAUUACCAGCGCAAUCCAAUUCACACCAAAGUGCAAACACAACUGCACUCAUUUUAAUGCAUCAGCCACAGGUGUGUCAGGUGCAACUCCUCCAGGUGACUGCAGCAAAGCUGGAAUUUGCUGGAUGUGCUUUCAUAUGUAAGUACUCCUGACAAUUACUUGUCUUCAAAGCGGCAUUCGACAAAAUGAUAAAAAAUAUAGAUGUGUUUGCUAAAGGAGUGCACAGCAGGACUACACUGCAGGUGUAACAUAAUCCGACAACUGCCCCCUCAACCAGUCCUCGUUAGUAUAGUGGUGAGUAUCCCCGCCUGUCACGCGGGAGACCGGGGUUCAAUUCCCCGACGGGGAGGUGUGCUUUUAACAAAAAAGUACUUCAGACAGUUACUUAACUUCAAAGUAGCAUUUGAGAACAAAAAAACAAACAAAACAUGUGCGUGUGUGUGUGUGUGUUAAACUUCCAGAUUAUCCUUAGUACAAGUCAAAUAAUACAUUAUAAUACAACGUGGAAUUGACGACAAUAAGGUAAGUGGAAUUCUCAUUAUCUACCAGCUGAGUUAAUAAAGUAGAUUACCUCCGUCAGAUAGGUAACCCUCAAUAAAACACAAAGUAGUCAGUUAUUUCCACUUACUCCCUCCUUUCACCCAGCAUGUGCACUAAAUUCCUUUUGGUUUCUAAUGCCUGCUAAACAGAUAGAUCACAUGUAACCAUUAGAUCGCACAAAACACUUGCUGCGUAGCGCCUUCAGUUGGCAGUACACAAUAAGUUCCGAGUUGUUUGGCGAGGUCACCAAACGUGCGGAUCUUUCCCCAUAUAUGUCCACCGUAGGUGGGCAACAUCAGGCUUAGGGCCAAACGGUGAUAAAACAGCCAGAAUAUAAGCCGUUGGAGUGAGAACAACUAGCCGAUGCAGUCCUCGAUCCGUCUGGAAAAUCGAAACCUGCCUGACCGAGAUGCCCGAUGGGCCCAAUGGCCAAGUUGAACAUUAAGCAUCGCAAAGAAACUUUCUUGGAAGUGAAGUUGAUAGUGUGGUCUUUCAGCUUAUAGCGUAUAUUAAUGCUUCGACUCCUGUGUAUAAUUCAAAAGAUAAAGUUUGACCACACUUUAGUCAUGAAGAUUCUGCCUUUCUGCCCAAGGAAAAUCUGAUUUCCCACUCUACUCAAACUAUAUCAGGAAAAGUGUUGGAUCUGCCCACAGAGGGAAAAUCUCAGGCAAGAUCAACUAUAUUUCCAGAAGCUAGCCAAACUGAAGUUAACAGCUUGACCAUUGAUAGUAUGAUUUUGGAGAGCCACUGUUUGACUUAUGAAGUUAUAAAAACCUAACAUAAACACAAUUUAUGUUCAUGUUUUUCAAAUCAAUGACAUGAUACUCUUUAAAUAUGAUUCCUCUAUACAUUUCCCCAUAAUAACUUGCUUAUUUUGUAGUCCCCUUCACCCCAUAUCGGGCUGUCCAACUGGCGGCCCGCGACCCCUCUUGUGCUGGGACUUCAGAAACAUCACCGUUUAUGAAAGGAGAUGCAAACUCCUAGCAUAUCUUCUCUAGUAUAAGCAAGGCAACCUUAAAUCACCUAAGCAAAAUCCAACCGCCAGUGCCACUUGGCCGGUUAGCUCAGUUGGUUAGAGCGUGGUGCUAAUAACGCCAAGGUCGCGGGUUCGAUCCCCGUACGGGCCACUUUUUAAAAUUUAAAGUGCAAUCUUCUACACAACAAUGAAACCUCUUCAUUCCUCUACACCUCGUCUCUUGUCUCUCCAUAUGUUCCUGGACAAAUCCUCCACUCGUCUCAGAGCUACCACUCCUUUGCACCACGCCGCUACUACUGCUCUUUCUGACCUUAAACCCUUCUGUCUUGCUGCUUUGCCUUACAUUUGGAAUGCCAUUCCUGCAUUCAUCCAGAGAGAAUUCCCCCUUGGUUUCUUCAGAACUAAACUUCAAGAUUACCACUUUAAGCACUUGCAUAAGACCUGAACUAGGAACUGGCACUUAUAUGGCUGUCACGUACGGUAUCCCAAAAGCGAGAUGUAAAACCACAAGGCCCUGGCUCACGCUUCCCUUCUGCCACUCACAACCGCCUUUCGCUUCGGGAGGAGCCCUCUGCUGCGCAGAUGCCGCCAGGUCUUAAAGUGAGAGGACCAAGGGGGAAGUUCUGGGAAGCCAAGGGAACCGCAAUGUUUACAGGAUGGGCGGGGAACAGACAGCGCAGAUGUGGAACAGGCAGGGACAUUACUGGUCAGUGCAGUACAAAUUCAGGAACCAGGGGCGCAGCCAGGAUUACCAGGCCGGAUCAGUACCAGUCAAACAGUGCAGAACAGAAUCAGGAGCCAGGAGCGUAGCCAGGAUAAACAGGCCGGAGUCAAAACCAAUCAGUAACGUGGUACCGAGUCAGGAUCCAGAAGAGUGCUCAAACAGGCAAGGGUCGAUUGACUAGUAAUUCAAAGAUUCAACCAGCACAUGUCUAUUAAAAUCAACACCUUAAGGCAGCUACUAGCAGGAGAAAUCAAAACAGUUGCCCCGCUUAGGGAUGUAAGGAAGAACCAGUACGCUAAAAGAAAAAUAUUGUUCAAUGGUUCAUCAGGGUUCCGUUCCCCGACUGGGAAGUGUGCCUUUUUUUCUAUAUGUAAGUACUCCAGACAGUUACUUGUCUUCAAAGUGGCAUUUGACAAAAUCAUCAAAAAAAUACAAAGGUGUGUUAAAUUAGCGCACAGCAGGAGUACAUUACCAGUGUGAGAUCAACCGAGGUCCCGCACCAGAGCCAGUCCUCGUUAGUAUAGUGGUGAGUAUCCCCGCCUGUCACGCGGGAGACCGGGGUUCAAUUCCCCGACGGGGAGGUGUGAUUUUGAGUUAGUGCUUCAGACAGCUACUUAACUUCAAAGUGGCAUUUGACAAAAUACAAAUAGAAAACAUGUGCAUGUGUGUGUUAAACUAGCAGAUUAUCAAAUAAAUACCGAUAAUCAAAGUACUCACAGCUAGCUGCCGUACUGAGAUACAAGUAUAGCUAUCAAUCAUAGCGAGUAAUCAGUGUUAUUCAGACACACACAAGCAUUGCAGUUGUAUAAACAUGGUUAUUACUGACAAAGAGUACGGGAACAAAAACGCUAAGCCCACGAGUCAGUAUCAGUAAUUAGGGGUAUAGCCAUCCUGUUAACAUAAUUAUUGGGGUAGCGAUUACAUAGAAAAAGGACUCAUUAUAAAAUAAAGGCGCGCAUAGGCUGAAGGAGCUCGAGCGGGAACCGUCUUUGUUAUCAUUCCCAAUAUUGCCUAUAUGAGCUAUCGUUUUAAAGGGGAAGGAAGACAAAUGUUUAAAUGGUGACCUUUGUUGAGAUCUGGUUAAAAUGAAAUAAUGGCCAUAGACCAACCAACAAAAUGUACAGAACUUUUUAGUACAGUGGCAUAACUGCCAUUUGGCUCCUUCAGUCCGGAUAAGUCCCCCAUGGGCCCCCUGCAGAUAAAGCAGAACCGCUCCCCCUCACAGCCACAGCCUUCUCUGUAGUUCCACCACUGUUUCAGUACCAGUAUAAGUCCGCGGAUCUGGAAACCACGAUGACAAUAGCAUGAAGUCAAGAGAAGCUGUCUUUAUCGACCAAGGUACCAUGUCAACAUGAUACAUCAGCAGAUGAAACUUUUAAACCUGCCUGAUUGACACAUAGCUCAUAAACAACAGACCCGAAAGACAGCCCAGGGGCAGUAUGGCAUCAACCGGACUUAAACAAUUACCAGCGCAAUCCAAUUCACACCAAAGUGCAAACACAACUGCACUCAUUUUAAUGCAUCAGCCACAGGUGUGUCAGGUGCAACUCCUCCAGGUGACUGCAGCAAAGCUGGAAUUUGCUGGAUGUGCUUUCAUAUGUAAGUACUCCUGACAAUUACUUGUCUUCAAAGCGGCAUUCGACAAAAUGAUAAAAAAUAUAGAUGUGUUUGCUAAAGGAGUGCACAGCAGGACUACACUGCAGGUGUAACAUAAUCCGACAACUGCCCCCUCAACCAGUCCUCGUUAGUAUAGUGGUGAGUAUCCCCGCCUGUCACGCGGGAGACCGGGGUUCAAUUCCCCGACGGGGAGGUGUGCUUUUAACAAAAAAGUACUUCAGACAGUUACUUAACUUCAAAGUAGCAUUUGAGAACAAAAAAACAAACAAAACAUGUGCGUGUGUGUGUGUGUUAAACUUCCAGAUUAUCCUUAGUACAAGUCAAAUAAUACAUUAUAAUACAACGUGGAAUUGACGACAAUAAGGUAAGUGGAAUUCUCAUUAUCUACCAGCUGAGUUAAUAAAGUAGAUUACCUCCGUCAGAUAGGUAACCCUCAAUAAAACACAAAGUAGUCAGUUAUUUCCACUUACUCCCUCCUUUCACCCAGCAUGUGCACUAAAUUCCUUUUGGUUUCUAAUGCCUGCUAAACAGAUAGAUCACAUGUAACCAUUAGAUCGCACAAAACACUUGCUGCGUAGCGCCUUCAGUUGGCAGUACACAAUAAGUUCCGAGUUGUUUGGCGAGGUCACCAAACGUGCGGAUCUUUCCCCAUAUAUGUCCACCGUAGGUGGGCAACAUCAGGCUUAGGGCCAAACGGUGAUAAAACAGCCAGAAUAUAAGCCGUUGGAGUGAGAACAACUAGCCGAUGCAGUCCUCGAUCCGUCUGGAAAAUCGAAACCUGCCUGACCGAGAUGCCCGAUGGGCCCAAUGGCCAAGUUGAACAUUAAGCAUCGCAAAGAAACUUUCUUGGAAGUGAAGUUGAUAGUGUGGUCUUUCAGCUUAUAGCGUAUAUUAAUGCUUCGACUCCUGUGUAUAAUUCAAAAGAUAAAGUUUGACCACACUUUAGUCAUGAAGAUUCUGCCUUUCUGCCCAAGGAAAAUCUGAUUUCCCACUCUACUCAAACUAUAUCAGGAAAAGUGUUGGAUCUGCCCACAGAGGGAAAAUCUCAGGCAAGAUCAACUAUAUUUCCAGAAGCUAGCCAAACUGAAGUUAACAGCUUGACCAUUGAUAGUAUGAUUUUGGAGAGCCACUGUUUGACUUAUGAAGUUAUAAAAACCUAACAUAAACACAAUUUAUGUUCAUGUUUUUCAAAUCAAUGACAUGAUACUCUUUAAAUAUGAUUCCUCUAUACAUUUCCCCAUAAUAACUUGCUUAUUUUGUAGUCCCCUUCACCCCAUAUCGGGCUGUCCAACUGGCGGCCCGCGACCCCUCUUGUGCUGGGACUUCAGAAACAUCACCGUUUAUGAAAGGAGAUGCAAACUCCUAGCAUAUCUUCUCUAGUAUAAGCAAGGCAACCUUAAAUCACCUAAGCAAAAUCCAACCGCCAGUGCCACUUGGCCGGUUAGCUCAGUUGGUUAGAGCGUGGUGCUAAUAACGCCAAGGUCGCGGGUUCGAUCCCCGUACGGGCCACUUUUUAAAAUUUAAAGUGCAAUCUUCUACACAACAAUGAAACCUCUUCAUUCCUCUACACCUCGUCUCUUGUCUCUCCAUAUGUUCCUGGACAAAUCCUCCACUCGUCUCAGAGCUACCACUCCUUUGCACCACGCCGCUACUACUGCUCUUUCUGACCUUAAACCCUUCUGUCUUGCUGCUUUGCCUUACAUUUGGAAUGCCAUUCCUGCAUUCAUCCAGAGAGAAUUCCCCCUUGGUUUCUUCAGAACUAAACUUCAAGAUUACCACUUUAAGCACUUGCAUAAGACCUGAACUAGGAACUGGCACUUAUAUGGCUGUCACGUACGGUAUCCCAAAAGCGAGAUGUAAAACCACAAGGCCCUGGCUCACGCUUCCCUUCUGCCACUCACAACCGCCUUUCGCUUCGGGAGGAGCCCUCUGCUGCGCAGAUGCCGCCAGGUCUUAAAGUGAGAGGACCAAGGGGGAAGUUCUGGGAAGCCAAGGGAACCGCAAUGUUUACAGGAUGGGCGGGGAACAGACAGCGCAGAUGUGGAACAGGCAGGGACAUUACUGGUCAGUGCAGUACAAAUUCAGGAACCAGGGGCGCAGCCAGGAUUACCAGGCCGGAUCAGUACCAGUCAAACAGUGCAGAACAGAAUCAGGAGCCAGGAGCGUAGCCAGGAUAAACAGGCCGGAGUCAAAACCAAUCAGUAACAUGGUACCGAGUCAGGAUCCAGAAGAGUGCUCAAACAGGCAAGGGUCGAUUGACUAGUAAUUCAAAGAUUCAACCAGCACAUGUCUAUUAAAAUCAACACCUUAAGGCAGCUACUAGCAGGAGAAAUCAAAACAGUUGCCCCGCUUAGGGAUGUAAGGAAGAACCAGUACGCUAAAAGAAAAAUAUUGUUCAAUGGUUCAUCAGGGUUCCGUUCCCCGACUGGGAAGUGUGCCUUUUUUUCUAUAUGUAAGUACUCCAGACAGUUACUUGUCUUCAAAGUGGCAUUUGACAAAAUCAUCAAAAAAAUACAAAGGUGUGUUAAAUUAGCGCACAGCAGGAGUACAUUACCAGUGUGAGAUCAACCGAGGUCCCGCACCAGAGCCAGUCCUCGUUAGUAUAGUGGUGAGUAUCCCCGCCUGUCACGCGGGAGACCGGGGUUCAAUUCCCCGACGGGGAGGUGUGAUUUUGAGUUAGUGCUUCAGACAGCUACUUAACUUCAAAGUGGCAUUUGACAAAAUACAAAUAGAAAACAUGUGCAUGUGUGUGUUAAACUAGCAGAUUAUCAAAUAAAUACCGAUAAUCAAAGUACUCACAGCUAGCUGCCGUACUGAGAUACAAGUAUAGCUAUCAAUCAUAGCGAGUAAUCAGUGUUAUUCAGACACACACAAGCAUUGCAGUUGUAUAAACAUGGUUAUUACUGACAAAGAGUACGGGAACAAAAACGCUAAGCCCACGAGUCAGUAUCAGUAAUUAGGGGUAUAGCCAUCCUGUUAACAUAAUUAUUGGGGUAGCGAUUACAUAGAAAAAGGACUCAUUAUAAAAUAAAGGCGCGCAUAGGCUGAAGGAGCUCGAGCGGGAACCGUCUUUGUUAUCAUUCCCAAUAUUGCCUAUAUGAGCUAUCGUUUUAAAGGGGAAGGAAGACAAAUGUUUAAAUGGUGACCUUUGUUGAGAUCUGGUUAAAAUGAAAUAAUGGCCAUAGACCAACCAACAAAAUGUACAGAACUUUUUAGUACAGUGGCAUAACUGCCAUUUGGCUCCUUCAGUCCGGAUAAGUCCCCCAUGGGCCCCCUGCAGAUAAAGCAGAACCGCUCCCCCUCACAGCCACAGCCUUCUCUGUAGUUCCACCACUGUUUCAGUACCAGUAUAAGUCCGCGGAUCUGGAAACCACGAUGACAAUAGCAUGAAGUCAAGAGAAGCUGUCUUUAUCGACCAAGGUACCAUGUCAACAUGAUACAUCAGCAGAUGAAACUUUUAAACCUGCCUGAUUGACACAUAGCUCAUAAACAACAGACCCGAAAGACAGCCCAGGGGCAGUAUGGCAUCAACCGGACUUAAACAAUUACCAGCGCAAUCCAAUUCACACCAAAGUGCAAACACAACUGCACUCAUUUUAAUGCAUCAGCCACAGGUGUGUCAGGUGCAACUCCUCCAGGUGACUGCAGCAAAGCUGGAAUUUGCUGGAUGUGCUUUCAUAUGUAAGUACUCCUGACAAUUACUUGUCUUCAAAGCGGCAUUCGACAAAAUGAUAAAAAAUAUAGAUGUGUUUGCUAAAGGAGUGCACAGCAGGACUACACUGCAGGUGUAACAUAAUCCGACAACUGCCCCCUCAACCAGUCCUCGUUAGUAUAGUGGUGAGUAUCCCCGCCUGUCACGCGGGAGACCGGGGUUCAAUUCCCCGACGGGGAGGUGUGAUUUUGAGUUAGUGCUUCAGACAGCUACUUAACUUCAAAGUGGCAUUUGACAAAAUACAAAUAGAAAACAUGUGCAUGUGUGUGUUAAACUAGCAGAUUAUCAAAUAAAUACCGAUAAUCAAAGUACUCACAGCUAGCUGCCGUACUGAGAUACAAGUAUAGCUAUCAAUCAUAGCGAGUAAUCAGUGUUAUUCAGACACACACAAGCAUUGCAGUUGUAUAAACAUGGUUAUUACUGACAAAGAGUACGGGAACAAAAACGCUAAGCCCACGAGUCAGUAUCAGUAAUUAGGGGUAUAGCCAUCCUGUUAACAUAAUUAUUGGGGUAGCGAUUACAUAGAAAAAGGACUCAUUAUAAAAUAAAGGCGCGCAUAGGCUGAAGGAGCUCGAGCGGGAACCGUCUUUGUUAUCAUUCCCAAUAUUGCCUAUAUGAGCUAUCGUUUUAAAGGGGAAGGAAGACAAAUGUUUAAAUGGUGACCUUUGUUGAGAUCUGGUUAAAAUGAAAUAAUGGCCAUAGACCAACCAACAAAAUGUACAGAACUUUUUAGUACAGUGGCAUAACUGCCAUUUGGCUCCUUCAGUCCGGAUAAGUCCCCCAUGGGCCCCCUGCAGAUAAAGCAGAACCGCUCCCCCUCACAGCCACAGCCUUCUCUGUAGUUCCACCACUGUUUCAGUACCAGUAUAAGUCCGCGGAUCUGGAAACCACGAUGACAAUAGCAUGAAGUCAAGAGAAGCUGUCUUUAUCGACCAAGGUACCAUGUCAACAUGAUACAUCAGCAGAUGAAACUUUUAAACCUGCCUGAUUGACACAUAGCUCAUAAACAACAGACCCGAAAGACAGCCCAGGGGCAGUAUGGCAUCAACCGGACUUAAACAAUUACCAGCGCAAUCCAAUUCACACCAAAGUGCAAACACAACUGCACUCAUUUUAAUGCAUCAGCCACAGGUGUGUCAGGUGCAACUCCUCCAGGUGACUGCAGCAAAGCUGGAAUUUGCUGGAUGUGCUUUCAUAUGUAAGUACUCCUGACAAUUACUUGUCUUCAAAGCGGCAUUCGACAAAAUGAUAAAAAAUAUAGAUGUGUUUGCUAAAGGAGUGCACAGCAGGACUACACUGCAGGUGUAACAUAAUCCGACAACUGCCCCCUCAACCAGUCCUCGUUAGUAUAGUGGUGAGUAUCCCCGCCUGUCACGCGGGAGACCGGGGUUCAAUUCCCCGACGGGGAGGUGUGCUUUUAACAAAAAAGUACUUCAGACAGUUACUUAACUUCAAAGUAGCAUUUGAGAACAAAAAAACAAACAAAACAUGUGCGUGUGUGUGUGUGUUAAACUUCCAGAUUAUCCUUAGUACAAGUCAAAUAAUACAUUAUAAUACAACGUGGAAUUGACGACAAUAAGGUAAGUGGAAUUCUCAUUAUCUACCAGCUGAGUUAAUAAAGUAGAUUACCUCCGUCAGAUAGGUAACCCUCAAUAAAACACAAAGUAGUCAGUUAUUUCCACUUACUCCCUCCUUUCACCCAGCAUGUGCACUAAAUUCCUUUUGGUUUCUAAUGCCUGCUAAACAGAUAGAUCACAUGUAACCAUUAGAUCGCACAAAACACUUGCUGCGUAGCGCCUUCAGUUGGCAGUACACAAUAAGUUCCGAGUUGUUUGGCGAGGUCACCAAACGUGCGGAUCUUUCCCCAUAUAUGUCCACCGUAGGUGGGCAACAUCAGGCUUAGGGCCAAACGGUGAUAAAACAGCCAGAAUAUAAGCCGUUGGAGUGAGAACAACUAGCCGAUGCAGUCCUCGAUCCGUCUGGAAAAUCGAAACCUGCCUGACCGAGAUGCCCGAUGGGCCCAAUGGCCAAGUUGAACAUUAAGCAUCGCAAAGAAACUUUCUUGGAAGUGAAGUUGAUAGUGUGGUCUUUCAGCUUAUAGCGUAUAUUAAUGCUUCGACUCCUGUGUAUAAUUCAAAAGAUAAAGUUUGACCACACUUUAGUCAUGAAGAUUCUGCCUUUCUGCCCAAGGAAAAUCUGAUUUCCCACUCUACUCAAACUAUAUCAGGAAAAGUGUUGGAUCUGCCCACAGAGGGAAAAUCUCAGGCAAGAUCAACUAUAUUUCCAGAAGCUAGCCAAACUGAAGUUAACAGCUUGACCAUUGAUAGUAUGAUUUUGGAGAGCCACUGUUUGACUUAUGAAGUUAUAAAAACCUAACAUAAACACAAUUUAUGUUCAUGUUUUUCAAAUCAAUGACAUGAUACUCUUUAAAUAUGAUUCCUCUAUACAUUUCCCCAUAAUAACUUGCUUAUUUUGUAGUCCCCUUCACCCCAUAUCGGGCUGUCCAACUGGCGGCCCGCGACCCCUCUUGUGCUGGGACUUCAGAAACAUCACCGUUUAUGAAAGGAGAUGCAAACUCCUAGCAUAUCUUCUCUAGUAUAAGCAAGGCAACCUUAAAUCACCUAAGCAAAAUCCAACCGCCAGUGCCACUUGGCCGGUUAGCUCAGUUGGUUAGAGCGUGGUGCUAAUAACGCCAAGGUCGCGGGUUCGAUCCCCGUACGGGCCACUUUUUAAAAUUUAAAGUGCAAUCUUCUACACAACAAUGAAACCUCUUCAUUCCUCUACACCUCGUCUCUUGUCUCUCCAUAUGUUCCUGGACAAAUCCUCCACUCGUCUCAGAGCUACCACUCCUUUGCACCACGCCGCUACUACUGCUCUUUCUGACCUUAAACCCUUCUGUCUUGCUGCUUUGCCUUACAUUUGGAAUGCCAUUCCUGCAUUCAUCCAGAGAGAAUUCCCCCUUGGUUUCUUCAGAACUAAACUUCAAGAUUACCACUUUAAGCACUUGCAUAAGACCUGAACUAGGAACUGGCACUUAUAUGGCUGUCACGUACGGUAUCCCAAAAGCGAGAUGUAAAACCACAAGGCCCUGGCUCACGCUUCCCUUCUGCCACUCACAACCGCCUUUCGCUUCGGGAGGAGCCCUCUGCUGCGCAGAUGCCGCCAGGUCUUAAAGUGAGAGGACCAAGGGGGAAGUUCUGGGAAGCCAAGGGAACCGCAAUGUUUACAGGAUGGGCGGGGAACAGACAGCGCAGAUGUGGAACAGGCAGGGACAUUACUGGUCAGUGCAGUACAAAUUCAGGAACCAGGGGCGCAGCCAGGAUUACCAGGCCGGAUCAGUACCAGUCAAACAGUGCAGAACAGAAUCAGGAGCCAGGAGCGUAGCCAGGAUAAACAGGCCGGAGUCAAAACCAAUCAGUAACAUGGUACCGAGUCAGGAUCCAGAAGAGUGCUCAAACAGGCAAGGGUCGAUUGACUAGUAAUUCAAAGAUUCAACCAGCACAUGUCUAUUAAAAUCAACACCUUAAGGCAGCUACUAGCAGGAGAAAUCAAAACAGUUGCCCCGCUUAGGGAUGUAAGGAAGAACCAGUACGCUAAAAGAAAAAUAUUGUUCAAUGGUUCAUCAGGGUUCCGUUCCCCGACUGGGAAGUGUGCCUUUUUUUCUAUAUGUAAGUACUCCAGACAGUUACUUGUCUUCAAAGUGGCAUUUGACAAAAUCAUCAAAAAAAUACAAAGGUGUGUUAAAUUAGCGCACAGCAGGAGUACAUUACCAGUGUGAGAUCAACCGAGGUCCCGCACCAGAGCCAGUCCUCGUUAGUAUAGUGGUGAGUAUCCCCGCCUGUCACGCGGGAGACCGGGGUUCAAUUCCCCGACGGGGAGGUGUGAUUUUGAGUUAGUGCUUCAGACAGCUACUUAACUUCAAAGUGGCAUUUGACAAAAUACAAAUAGAAAACAUGUGCAUGUGUGUGUUAAACUAGCAGAUUAUCAAAUAAAUACCGAUAAUCAAAGUACUCACAGCUAGCUGCCGUACUGAGAUACAAGUAUAGCUAUCAAUCAUAGCGAGUAAUCAGUGUUAUUCAGACACACACAAGCAUUGCAGUUGUAUAAACAUGGUUAUUACUGACAAAGAGUACGGGAACAAAAACGCUAAGCCCACGAGUCAGUAUCAGUAAUUAGGGGUAUAGCCAUCCUGUUAACAUAAUUAUUGGGGUAGCGAUUACAUAGAAAAAGGACUCAUUAUAAAAUAAAGGCGCGCAUAGGCUGAAGGAGCUCGAGCGGGAACCGUCUUUGUUAUCAUUCCCAAUAUUGCCUAUAUGAGCUAUCGUUUUAAAGGGGAAGGAAGACAAAUGUUUAAAUGGUGACCUUUGUUGAGAUCUGGUUAAAAUGAAAUAAUGGCCAUAGACCAACCAACAAAAUGUACAGAACUUUUUAGUACAGUGGCAUAACUGCCAUUUGGCUCCUUCAGUCCGGAUAAGUCCCCCAUGGGCCCCCUGCAGAUAAAGCAGAACCGCUCCCCCUCACAGCCACAGCCUUCUCUGUAGUUCCACCACUGUUUCAGUACCAGUAUAAGUCCGCGGAUCUGGAAACCACGAUGACAAUAGCAUGAAGUCAAGAGAAGCUGUCUUUAUCGACCAAGGUACCAUGUCAACAUGAUACAUCAGCAGAUGAAACUUUUAAACCUGCCUGAUUGACACAUAGCUCAUAAACAACAGACCCGAAAGACAGCCCAGGGGCAGUAUGGCAUCAACCGGACUUAAACAAUUACCAGCGCAAUCCAAUUCACACCAAAGUGCAAACACAACUGCACUCAUUUUAAUGCAUCAGCCACAGGUGUGUCAGGUGCAACUCCUCCAGGUGACUGCAGCAAAGCUGGAAUUUGCUGGAUGUGCUUUCAUAUGUAAGUACUCCUGACAAUUACUUGUCUUCAAAGCGGCAUUCGACAAAAUGAUAAAAAAUAUAGAUGUGUUUGCUAAAGGAGUGCACAGCAGGACUACACUGCAGGUGUAACAUAAUCCGACAACUGCCCCCUCAACCAGUCCUCGUUAGUAUAGUGGUGAGUAUCCCCGCCUGUCACGCGGGAGACCGGGGUUCAAUUCCCCGACGGGGAGGUGUGCUUUUAACAAAAAAGUACUUCAGACAGUUACUUAACUUCAAAGUAGCAUUUGAGAACAAAAAAACAAACAAAACAUGUGCGUGUGUGUGUGUGUUAAACUUCCAGAUUAUCCUUAGUACAAGUCAAAUAAUACAUUAUAAUACAACGUGGAAUUGACGACAAUAAGGUAAGUGGAAUUCUCAUUAUCUACCAGCUGAGUUAAUAAAGUAGAUUACCUCCGUCAGAUAGGUAACCCUCAAUAAAACACAAAGUAGUCAGUUAUUUCCACUUACUCCCUCCUUUCACCCAGCAUGUGCACUAAAUUCCUUUUGGUUUCUAAUGCCUGCUAAACAGAUAGAUCACAUGUAACCAUUAGAUCGCACAAAACACUUGCUGCGUAGCGCCUUCAGUUGGCAGUACACAAUAAGUUCCGAGUUGUUUGGCGAGGUCACCAAACGUGCGGAUCUUUCCCCAUAUAUGUCCACCGUAGGUGGGCAACAUCAGGCUUAGGGCCAAACGGUGAUAAAACAGCCAGAAUAUAAGCCGUUGGAGUGAGAACAACUAGCCGAUGCAGUCCUCGAUCCGUCUGGAAAAUCGAAACCUGCCUGACCGAGAUGCCCGAUGGGCCCAAUGGCCAAGUUGAACAUUAAGCAUCGCAAAGAAACUUUCUUGGAAGUGAAGUUGAUAGUGUGGUCUUUCAGCUUAUAGCGUAUAUUAAUGCUUCGACUCCUGUGUAUAAUUCAAAAGAUAAAGUUUGACCACACUUUAGUCAUGAAGAUUCUGCCUUUCUGCCCAAGGAAAAUCUGAUUUCCCACUCUACUCAAACUAUAUCAGGAAAAGUGUUGGAUCUGCCCACAGAGGGAAAAUCUCAGGCAAGAUCAACUAUAUUUCCAGAAGCUAGCCAAACUGAAGUUAACAGCUUGACCAUUGAUAGUAUGAUUUUGGAGAGCCACUGUUUGACUUAUGAAGUUAUAAAAACCUAACAUAAACACAAUUUAUGUUCAUGUUUUUCAAAUCAAUGACAUGAUACUCUUUAAAUAUGAUUCCUCUAUACAUUUCCCCAUAAUAACUUGCUUAUUUUGUAGUCCCCUUCACCCCAUAUCGGGCUGUCCAACUGGCGGCCCGCGACCCCUCUUGUGCUGGGACUUCAGAAACAUCACCGUUUAUGAAAGGAGAUGCAAACUCCUAGCAUAUCUUCUCUAGUAUAAGCAAGGCAACCUUAAAUCACCUAAGCAAAAUCCAACCGCCAGUGCCACUUGGCCGGUUAGCUCAGUUGGUUAGAGCGUGGUGCUAAUAACGCCAAGGUCGCGGGUUCGAUCCCCGUACGGGCCACUUUUUAAAAUUUAAAGUGCAAUCUUCUACACAACAAUGAAACCUCUUCAUUCCUCUACACCUCGUCUCUUGUCUCUCCAUAUGUUCCUGGCCAAAUCCUCCACUCGUCUCAGAGCUACCACUCCUUUGCACCACGCCGCUACUACUGCUCUUUCUGACCUUAAACCCUUCUGUCUUGCUGCUUUGCCUUACAUUUGGAAUGCCAUUCCUGCAUUCAUCCAGAGAGAAUUCCCCCUUGGUUUCUUCAGAACUAAACUUCAAGAUUACCACUUUAAGCACUUGCAUAAGACCUGAACUAGGAACUGGCACUUAUAUGGCUGUCACGUACGGUAUCCCAAAAGCGAGAUGUAAAACCACAAGGCCCUGGCUCACGCUUCCCUUCUGCCACUCACAACCGCCUUUCGCUUCGGGAGGAGCCCUCUGCUGCGCAGAUGCCGCCAGGUCUUAAAGUGAGAGGACCAAGGGGGAAGUUCUGGGAAGCCAAGGGAACCGCAAUGUUUACAGGAUGGGCGGGGAACAGACAGCGCAGAUGUGGAACAGGCAGGGACAUUACUGGUCAGUGCAGUACAAAUUCAGGAACCAGGGGCGCAGCCAGGAUUACCAGGCCGGAUCAGUACCAGUCAAACAGUGCAGAACAGAAUCAGGAGCCAGGAGCGUAGCCAGGAUAAACAGGCCGGAGUCAAAACCAAUCAGUAACAUGGUACCGAGUCAGGAUCCAGAAGAGUGCUCAAACAGGCAAGGGUCGAUUGACUAGUAAUUCAAAGAUUCAACCAGCACAUGUCUAUUAAAAUCAACACCUUAAGGCAGCUACUAGCAGGAGAAAUCAAAACAGUUGCCCCGCUUAGGGAUGUAAGGAAGAACCAGUACGCUAAAAGAAAAAUAUUGUUCAAUGGUUCAUCAGGGUUCCGUUCCCCGACUGGGAAGUGUGCCUUUUUUUCUAUAUGUAAGUACUCCAGACAGUUACUUGUCUUCAAAGUGGCAUUUGACAAAAUCAUCAAAAAAAUACAAAGGUGUGUUAAAUUAGCGCACAGCAGGAGUACAUUACCAGUGUGAGAUCAACCGAGGUCCCGCACCAGAGCCAGUCCUCGUUAGUAUAGUGGUGAGUAUCCCCGCCUGUCACGCGGGAGACCGGGGUUCAAUUCCCCGACGGGGAGGUGUGAUUUUGAGUUAGUGCUUCAGACAGCUACUUAACUUCAAAGUGGCAUUUGACAAAAUACAAAUAGAAAACAUGUGCAUGUGUGUGUUAAACUAGCAGAUUAUCAAAUAAAUACCGAUAAUCAAAGUACUCACAGCUAGCUGCCGUACUGAGAUACAAGUAUAGCUAUCAAUCAUAGCGAGUAAUCAGUGUUAUUCAGACACACACAAGCAUUGCAGUUGUAUAAACAUGGUUAUUACUGACAAAGAGUACGGGAACAAAAACGCUAAGCCCACGAGUCAGUAUCAGUAAUUAGGGGUAUAGCCAUCCUGUUAACAUAAUUAUUGGGGUAGCGAUUACAUAGAAAAAGGACUCAUUAUAAAAUAAAGGCGCGCAUAGGCUGAAGGAGCUCGAGCGGGAACCGUCUUUGUUAUCAUUCCCAAUAUUGCCUAUAUGAGCUAUCGUUUUAAAGGGGAAGGAAGACAAAUGUUUAAAUGGUGACCUUUGUUGAGAUCUGGUUAAAAUGAAAUAAUGGCCAUAGACCAACCAACAAAAUGUACAGAACUUUUUAGUACAGUGGCAUAACUGCCAUUUGGCUCCUUCAGUCCGGAUAAGUCCCCCAUGGGCCCCCUGCAGAUAAAGCAGAACCGCUCCCCCUCACAGCCACAGCCUUCUCUGUAGUUCCACCACUGUUUCAGUACCAGUAUAAGUCCGCGGAUCUGGAAACCACGAUGACAAUAGCAUGAAGUCAAGAGAAGCUGUCUUUAUCGACCAAGGUACCAUGUCAACAUGAUACAUCAGCAGAUGAAACUUUUAAACCUGCCUGAUUGACACAUAGCUCAUAAACAACAGACCCGAAAGACAGCCCAGGGGCAGUAUGGCAUCAACCGGACUUAAACAAUUACCAGCGCAAUCCAAUUCACACCAAAGUGCAAACACAACUGCACUCAUUUUAAUGCAUCAGCCACAGGUGUGUCAGGUGCAACUCCUCCAGGUGACUGCAGCAAAGCUGGAAUUUGCUGGAUGUGCUUUCAUAUGUAAGUACUCCUGACAAUUACUUGUCUUCAAAGCGGCAUUCGACAAAAUGAUAAAAAAUAUAGAUGUGUUUGCUAAAGGAGUGCACAGCAGGACUACACUGCAGGUGUAACAUAAUCCGACAAUUGCCCCCUCAACCAGUCCUCGUUAGUAUAGUGGUGAGUAUCCCCGCCUGUCACGCGGGAGACCGGGGUUCAAUUCCCCGACGGGGAGGUGUGCUUUUAACAAAAAAGUACUUCAGACAGUUACUUAACUUCAAAGUAGCAUUUGAGAACAAAAAAACAAACAAAACAUGUGCGUGUGUGUGUGUGUUAAACUUCCAGAUUAUCCUUAGUACAAGUCAAAUAAUACAUUAUAAUACAACGUGGAAUUGACGACAAUAAGGUAAGUGGAAUUCUCAUUAUCUACCAGCUGAGUUAAUAAAGUAGAUUACCUCCGUCAGAUAGGUAACCCUCAAUAAAACACAAAGUAGUCAGUUAUUUCCACUUACUCCCUCCUUUCACCCAGCAUGUGCACUAAAUUCCUUUUGGUUUCUAAUGCCUGCUAAACAGAUAGAUCACAUGUAACCAUUAGAUCGCACAAAACACUUGCUGCGUAGCGCCUUCAGUUGGCAGUACACAAUAAGUUCCGAGUUGUUUGGCGAGGUCACCAAACGUGCGGAUCUUUCCCCAUAUAUGUCCACCGUAGGUGGGCAACAUCAGGCUUAGGGCCCAACGGUGAUAAAACAGCCAGAAUAUAAGCCGUUGGAGUGAGAACAACUAGCCGAUGCAGUCCUCGAUCCGUCUGGAAAAUCGAAACCUGCCUGACCGAGAUGCCCGAUGGGCCCAAUGGCCAAGUUGAACAUUAAGCAUCGCAAAGAAACUUUCUUGGAAGUGAAGUUGAUAGUGUGGUCUUUCAGCUUAUAGCGUAUAUUAAUGCUUCGACUCCUGUGUAUAAUUCAAAAGAUAAAGUUUGACCACACUUUAGUCAUGAAGAUUCUGCCUUUCUGCCCAAGGAAAAUCUGAUUUCCCACUCUACUCAAACUAUAUCAGGAAAAGUGUUGGAUCUGCCCACAGAGGGAAAAUCUCAGGCAAGAUCAACUAUAUUUCCAGAAGCUAGCCAAACUGAAGUUAACAGCUUGACCAUUGAUAGUAUGAUUUUGGAGAGCCACUGUUUGACUUAUGAAGUUAUAAAAACCUAACAUAAACACAAUUUAUGUUCAUGUUUUUCAAAUCAAUGACAUGAUACUCUUUAAAUAUGAUUCCUCUAUACAUUUCCCCAUAAUAACUUGCUUAUUUUGUAGUCCCCUUCACCCCAUAUCGGGCUGUCCAACUGGCGGCCCGCGACCCCUCUUGUGCUGGGACUUCAGAAACAUCACCGUUUAUGAAAGGAGAUGCAAACUCCUAGCAUAUCUUCUCUAGUAUAAGCAAGGCAACCUUAAAUCACCUAAGCAAAAUCCAACCGCCAGUGCCACUUGGCCGGUUAGCUCAGUUGGUUAGAGCGUGGUGCUAAUAACGCCAAGGUCGCGGGUUCGAUCCCCGUACGGGCCACUUUUUAAAAUUUAAAGUGCAAUCUUCUACACAACAAUGAAACCUCUUCAUUCCUCUACACCUCGUCUCUUGUCUCUCCAUAUGUUCCUGGACAAAUCCUCCACUCGUCUCAGAGCUACCACUCCUUUGCACCACGCCGCUACUACUGCUCUUUCUGACCUUAAACCCUUCUGUCUUGCUGCUUUGCCUUACAUUUGGAAUGCCAUUCCUGCAUUCAUCCAGAGAGAAUUCCCCCUUGGUUUCUUCAGAACUAAACUUCAAGAUUACCACUUUAAGCACUUGCAUAAGACCUGAACUAGGAACUGGCACUUAUAUGGCUGUCACGUACGGUAUCCCAAAAGCGAGAUGUAAAACCACAAGGCCCUGGCUCACGCUUCCCUUCUGCCACUCACAACCGCCUUUCGCUUCGGGAGGAGCCCUCUGCUGCGCAGAUGCCGCCAGGUCUUAAAGUGAGAGGACCAAGGGGGAAGUUCUGGGAAGCCAAGGGAACCGCAAUGUUUACAGGAUGGGCGGGGAACAGACAGCGCAGAUGUGGAACAGGCAGGGACAUUACUGGUCAGUGCAGUACAAAUUCAGGAACCAGGGGCGCAGCCAGGAUUACCAGGCCGGAUCAGUACCAGUCAAACAGUGCAGAACAGAAUCAGGAGCCAGGAGCGUAGCCAGGAUAAACAGGCCGGAGUCAAAACCAAUCAGUAACAUGGUACCGAGUCAGGAUCCAGAAGAGUGCUCAAACAGGCAAGGGUCGAUUGACUAGUAAUUCAAAGAUUCAACCAGCACAUGUCUAUUAAAAUCAACACCUUAAGGCAGCUACUAGCAGGAGAAAUCAAAACAGUUGCCCCGCUUAGGGAUGUAAGGAAGAACCAGUACGCUAAAAGAAAAAUAUUGUUCAAUGGUUCAUCAGGGUUCCGUUCCCCGACUGGGAAGUGUGCCUUUUUUCUAUAUGUAAGUACUCCAGACAGUUACUUGUCUUCAAAGUGGCAUUUGACAAAAUCAUCAAAAAAAUACAAAGGUGUGUUAAAUUAGCGCACAGCAGGAGUACAUUACCAGUGUGAGAUCAACCGAGGUCCCGCACCAGAGCCAGUCCUCGUUAGUAUAGUGGUGAGUAUCCCCGCCUGUCACGCGGGAGACCGGGGUUCAAUUCCCCGACGGGGAGGUGUGAUUUUGAGUUAGUGCUUCAGACAGCUACUUAACUUCAAAGUGGCAUUUGACAAAAUACAAAUAGAAAA